UACUUGUUAGGUCUUCUGCAGUAAUCAGUCUUUUCUUCAAGCUGAGUUGGGGAGAAUUUUUACCAUUGGCCAUAAGCAUGGAUACUCCAACAAAUUUAUGCAGUGCCUUUUUCGUAAGGUCAAGAAUGAUUACCAUAAACAGCUAUUUUCCUUGGAACAACCUGGCCCUUCCUCCCAUGUAGAGCCUACUCCUACCUUACAAUACCAGCUUCUGAUAUCUUACAGACUCCACUCUAACUCUGCUAUUAGAUCUACCCUUAAGUUGACAAAUAGGCCAGUACCUUCAGAAGAGCUCCCACCAUCUUCAAUUUAUUGUGUAAUGAC
rnacentral:lncRNA from 1 species